CAGCAGCCGCGGUAAUGCGAGGGGGGCAAGCGUUGUUCGGAAUUAUUGGGCGUAAAGGGCGCGUAGGCGGAUUGUUUAGUUAGGCGUGAAAUUCCUGGGCUUAACCUGGGGGCUGCGUUUGAUACGUGUAGGCUAGAGUGGGGAAGAGGGUUGUGGAAUUCCCAGUGUAGAGGUGAAAUUCGUAGAUAUCGGAAGGAACACCUGUGGCGAAAGCGGCUCACUGGACAAUAACUGACGCUGAUGCACGAAAGCUAGGGGAGCAAACAGGAUUAGAUACCCCAGUAGUCCCUGUCUCUUAUAC
rnacentral:rRNA from 1 species